rnacentral:pre_miRNA from 1 species
UCACUGGAGAUCCUGUUAAUAUGCAGAUUCGGGGUGGGGGGGUGCUGAGAUUCUGCAUUUCUGACAAGCUCCCAGGGGAUGCCA